UUGCUUGGUCUGAUCAGAUGGCGAACGGGUGAGUAACACGUGAGUAACCUGCCCCUGACUCUGGGAUAACCCCGGGAAACCGGAGCUAAUACCGGAUAUGACACGCCCCUGCAUGGGGAGCGUGUGGAAAGUUUUUCGGUCUGGGAUGGACUCGCGGCCUAUCAGCUUGUUGGUGAGGUAAUGGCUCACCAAGGCGACGACGGGUAGCCGGCCUGAGAGGGCGACCGGCCACACUGGGACUGAGACACGGCCCAGACUCCUACGGGAGGCAGCAGUGGGGAAUAUUGCACAAUGGGCGAAAGCCUGAUGCAGCGACGCCGCGUGAGGGAUGACGGCCUUCGGGUUGUAAACCUCUUUCAGCAGGGAAGAAGCGCAAGUGACGGUACCUGCACAAGAAGCACCGGCUAACUACGUGCCAGCAGCCGCGGUAAUACGUAGGGUGCGAGCGUUGUCCGGAAUUAUUGGGCGUAAAGAGCUUGUAGGUGGUUUGUCGCGUCUGCUGUGAAAAUCCGAGGCUCAACCUCGGACUUGCAGUGGGUACGGGCAGACUAGAGUGUGGUAGGGGAGACUGGAAUUCCUGGUGUAGCGGUGGAAUGCGCAGAUAUCAGGAGGAACACCGAUGGCGAAGGCAGGUCUCUGGGCCAUUACUGACACUGAGAAGCGAAAGCAUGGGGAGCGAACAGGAUUAGAUACCCUGGUAGUCCAUGCCGUAAACGUUGGGAACUAGGUGUGGGUCUCAUUCCACGAGAUCCGUGCCGCAGCUAACGCAUU
rnacentral:rRNA from 1 species